AGAUUGAACGCUGGCGGCAGGCUUAACACAUGCAAGUCGAGCGGUAACAGAGAGUAGCUUGCUACUUUGCUGACGAGCGGCGGACGGGUGAGUAAUGCUUGGGAAUAUGCCUUUGAGUGGGGGACAACAGUUGGAAACGACUGCUAAUACCGCAUAAUGUCUACGGACCAAAGGGGGGGACGCUUCGGCACCUCUCGCUCAUAGAUUAGCCCAAGUGAGAUUAGCUAGUUGGUAAGGUAAAGGCUUACCAAGGCGACGAUCUCUAGCUGGUUUGAGAGGAUGAUCAGCCACACUGGGACUGAGACACGGCCCAGACUCCUACGGGAGGCAGCAGUGGGGAAUAUUGCACAAUGGGCGAAAGCCUGAUGCAGCCAUGCCGCGUGUGUGAAGAAGGCCUUCGGGUUGUAAAGCACUUUCAGUUGUGAGGAAAGGAGUGUAGUUAAUAACUGCAUUCUAUGACGUUAGCAACAGAAGAAGCACCGGCUAACUCCGUGCCAGCAGCCGCGGUAAUACGGAGGGUGCGAGCGUUAAUCGGAAUUACUGGGCGUAAAGCGUGCGUAGGCGGAUUGUUAAGUGAGAUGUGAAAGCCCCGGGCUCAACCUGGGAACUGCAUUUCAAACUGGCAGUCUAGAGUAUUGUAGAGGGUGGUGGAAUUUCCAGUGUAGCGGUGAAAUGCGUAGAGAUUGGAAGGAAUAUCAGUGGCGAAGGCGGCCACCUGGACAAAUACUGACGCUGAGGCACGAAAGCGUGGGGAGCAAACAGGAUUAGAUACCCUGGUAGUCCACGCCGUAAACGAUGUCAACUAGCUGUCUGUAGACUUGAUCUGUGGGUAGCGAAGCUAACGCGAUAAGUUGACCGCCUGGGGAGUACGGCCGCAAGGUUA
rnacentral:rRNA from 1 species